rnacentral:rRNA from 1 species
GACAGAGGGUGCAAACGUUGCUCGGAAUUACUGGGCGUAAAGAGCUCGUAGGUGGUUUGUCGCGUUGUUCGUGAAAACUCACAGCUUAACUGUGGGCGUGCGGGCGAUACGGGCAGACUGGAGUACUGCAGGGGAGACUGGAAUUCCUGGUGUAGCGGUGGAAUGCGCAGAUAUCAGGAGGAACACCGGUGGCGAAGGCGGGUCUCUGGGCAGUAACUGACGCUGAGGAGCGAAAGCGUGGGGAGCGAACAGG